rnacentral:rRNA from 1 species
GAUGAACGCUGGCGGCGUGCUUAACACAUGCAAGUCGAACGGGAAAUAUUUCAUUGUGACUUCGGUGGAUUUGAUUUAUUUCUAGUGGCGGACGGGUGAGUAACGCGUGGGUAACCUGCCUUAUACAGGGGGAUAACAGUCAGAAAUGGCUGCUAAUACCGCAUAAGCGCACAGAGCUGCAUGGCUCAGUGUGAAAAACUCCGGUGGUAUAAGAUGGACCCGCGUUGGAUUAGCUAGUUGGUGGGGUAACGGCCCACCAAGGCGACGAUCCAUAGCCGGCCUGAGAGGGUGAACGGCCACAUUGGGACUGAGACACGGCCCAGACUCCUACGGGAGGCAGGAGUGGGGAAUAGUGCACAAUGGGGGAAACCCUGAUGGAGCGACGCCGCGUGAAGGAAGAAGUAUCUCGGUAUGUAAACUUCUAUCAGCAGGGAAGAUAGUGACGGUACCUGACUAAGAAGCCCCGGCUAACUACGUG